rnacentral:rRNA from 1 species
AUUGAACGCUGGCGACAUGCCUUACACAUGCAAGUCGAACGGCAGCACGGGAGCAAUCCUGGUGGCGAGUGGCGAACGGGUGAGUAAUAUAUCGGAACGUGCCCAGUCGUGGGGGAUAACGUAGCGAAAGCUACGCUAAUACCGCAUACGAUCUAUGGAUGAAAGCGGGGGAUCGCAAGACCUCGCGCGAUUGGAGCGGCCGAUAUCAGAUUAGGUAGUUGGUGGGGUAAAGGCUCACCAAGCCGACGAUCUGUAGCUGGUCUGAGAGGACGACAAGCCAAACUGGGACGGAGACACGGCCCAGACUCCUACGGGAGGCAGCAGUGGGGAAUUUUGGACAAUGGGCGCAAGCCUGAUCCAGCAAUGCCGCGUGCAGGAUGAAGGCCUUCGGGUUGUAAACUGCUUUUGUACGGAGCGAAAAGGCUUCCACUAAUACUGGGGGCUCAUGACGGUACCGUAAGAAUAAGCACCGGCUAACUUCGUGCCAGCCGCCGCCGUAA